UACGUAGGCAGCGAGCGUUGUUCGGAGUUACUGGGCGUAAAGGGUGUGUAGGCGGUUGUUUAAGUUUGGUGUGAAAUCUCCCGGCUCAACUGGGAGGGUGCGCCGAAUACUGAGCGACUAGAGUGCGGGAGAGGAAAGUGGAAUUCAUGGUGUAGCAGUGAAAUGCGUAGAGAUCAUGAGGAAGACCAGUGGCGAAGGCGGGUCUCUGGACAGUUCCUGACACUGAGGCACGAAGGCCAGGGGAGCAAACGGG
rnacentral:rRNA from 1 species